rnacentral:rRNA from 1 species
GGGCCCGCACAAGCAGCGGAGCAUGUGGUUUAAUUCGAAGCAACGCGAAGAACCUUACCAAGGCUUGACAUCCUACUAAACUCAUAGAAAUAUGAGGUCCCUUCGGGGGAGUAGAGACAGGUGGUGCAUGGUUGUCGUCAGCUCGUGUCGUGAGAUGUUGGGUUAAGUCCCGCAACGAGCGCAACCCCUAUUACCAGUUACCAGCACGUAGAGGUGGGGACUCUGGUGAGACUGCCGGGGACAACUCGGAGGAAGGUGGGGACGACGUCAAAUCAUCAUGCCCCUUAUGUCUUGGGCUACACACGUGCUACAAUGGCUAUAACAAAGGGAAGCGAAAGGGUAACCUGGAGCGGAUCUCAGAAAAAUAGUCUCAGUUCGGAUUGUGGGCUGCAACCCGCCCGCAUGAAGUCGGAGUUGCUAGUAAUCGCGGAUCAGCAUGCCG